rnacentral:rRNA from 1 species
UACACUCCUGCGGGAGGCAGCAGUGGGGAAUUUUGGACAAUGGGCGAAAGCCUGAUCCAGCAAUGCCGCGUGAGUGAAGAAGGCCUUCGGGUUGUAAAGCUCUUUUGUCAGGGAAGAAACGGUGAAAGCUAAUAUCUUUUGCUAAUGACGGUACCUGAAGAAUAAGCACCGGCUAACUACGUGCCAGCAGCCGCGGUAAUACGUAGGGUGCAAGCGUUAAUCGGAAUUACUGGGCGUAAAGCGUGCGCAGGCGGUUUUGUAAGUCUGAUGUGAAAUCCCCGGGCUCAACCUGGGAAUUGCAUUGGAGACUGCAAGGCUAGAAUCUGGCAGAGGGGGGUAGAAUUCCACGUGUAGCAGUGAAAUGCGUAGAUAUGUGGAGGAACACCGAUGGCGAAGGCAGCCCCCUGGGUCAAGAUUGACGCUCAUGCACGAAAGCGUGGGGAGCAAACAGGAUUAGAAACCCGGGUAGUCCCAUGAU